CGUUAAGCAUCCCGCCUGGGGAGUACGGUCGCAAGACUAAAACUCAAAGGAAUUGACGGGGACCCGCACAAGCGGUGGAGCAUGUGGUUUAAUUCGAUGGUAAGCGGAGCACCUCACCAAGGUUUGACAUCUCAGUGAAAGGCACCAGAAAUGGAGCCCCUCUUCGGACACUGAAGACAGGUGCUGCACGGUUGUCGUCAGCUCGUGUUGUGAAAUGUACCGUUAAGUCGGAUAACGAGCGCAACCCCUAUUGCCAGUUUCAUGUAUCUGGCGAGACUGCCGUGGUUAACACGGAGGAAGGUGGGGAUGACGUCAAAUCAGCGUGGCCUUUAUACCUUGGGCGACACACGUGCUACAAUGGGUAGGUCACAAUGGGUCGCGAAAGCGUAAGCUGGAGCUAAUCCCAACAAAACUACCCCCAGUUCGGAUUGAGGGCUGCAACUCGCCCUCAUGAAGCCGGAAUCGCUAGUAACUGCAGAUCAGCCAUGCUGCGGUGAAUACGUUCUCGGGUCUUGUACACACCGCCCGUCACACCACGAAAGCGAGAAACACCCGAAGUCUCUAGCAAUAGGGCCUAAGGUGGAGCUCGUGAUUGGGGUG
rnacentral:rRNA from 1 species